AUCGAUUUUACAAUAUAUAAGCAUUUCAUAAAGUUUGUCUGUUCGCCACUAAAAUAGUUCAGCUGAACACAACCAAUACAGUUCAAUUUUAUCGACACAUUUUCAUACACAUCAGCUAGAGAGGAACACAGCUGAUUCUCGACACCUUGAUUCAAGAACAAAGAUGGCCGCUGGCAGUUUCCGACAUGUCUCCAAAAACUUUACAGAUGAACUUUUGGCCUCCUCAGACAAAUUUAGUCCUGGUAGAUAAAUGUGGGUUGACCUCAAGGUGUGAGGCACAAAGGUGACCCUGGAUAGUCAAGUACGCAAAGCAGUACAACAAACAACAAAUCCUAUUAAACUGAGAUUAAUUCCUUGCCAACUACGGGUCAAGUUUUCUCUCAAUGCCUCAAAAACUCAUUCCCCCUAUCCUCCCAUCUCCCGUUAAUCUUGCUGGUCCCUGUUCCAGUGAGAACCAUAAAUGCUGCCUGUGCUGAAUAGAGGUCAAUGGAGGGGUUUUGACUUUGCUGUUCACACACCAAGAGCAUAUAGGAGCCAUAUAGGAGGGAGGCACAGAUUCAGACUCAUUGAGCUGCAGCAAGGCUCCUGUAAUCAUUGCUUCAAUAAAGUCUGCCACAGCAGCUUCUCUCUUUACUUUGUAAUGUUGUGGUAAUUAAAUUCAUGGCUGAGCUAAGAGAGGUUUUGAAUGGAUACA